rnacentral:rRNA from 1 species
UGGGGGAUAUUGCACAAUGGGCGAAAGCCUGAUGCAGCGACGCCGCGUGGGGGAUGAAGGCUUUCGGGUUGUAAACCUCUUUUGCUAUCGAACAAGGCCCGCUUAGGGUGGGUUGAGGGUAGGUGGAGAAGAAGCGCCGGCUAACUACGUGCCAGCAGCCGCGGUAAUACGUAGGGCGCGAGCGUUGUCCGGAAUUAUUGGGCGUAAAGGGCUUGUAGGCGGCUUGUUGCGCCUGCUGUGAAAACGCGGGGCUUAACUUCGCGCGUGCAGUGGGUACGGGCAGGCUUGAGUGUGGUAGGGGUGACUGGAAUUCCAGGUGUAGCGGUGGAAUGCGCAGAUAUCUGGAGGAACACCGAUGGCGAAGGCAGGUCACUGGGCCAUGACUGACGCUGAGGAGCGAAAGCAUGGGUAGCGAACAGG